GUAAUGGCUCACCAAGGCGACGACGGGUAGCCGGCCUGAGAGGGUGACCGGCCACACUGGGACUGAGACACGGCCCAGACUCCUACGGGAGGCAGCAGUGGGGAAUAUUGCACAAUGGGCGAAAGCCUGAUGCAGCGACGCCGCGUGAGGGAUGACGGCCUUCGGGUUGUAAACCUCUUUCAGUAGGGAAGAAGCGAAAGUGACGGUACCUGCAGAAGAAGCGCCGGCUAACUACGUGCCAGCAGCCGCGGUAAUACGUAGGGCGCAAGCGUUAUCCGGAAUUAUUGGGCGUAAAGAGCUCGUAGGCGGUUUGUCGCGUCUGCCGUGAAAGUCCGGGGCAUCAACUCCGGAUCUGCGGUGGGUACGGGCAGACUAGAGUGAUGUAGGGGAGACUGGAAUUCCUGGUGUAGCGGUGAAAUGCGCAGAUAUCAGGAGGAACACCGAUGGCGAAGGCAGGUUCUCUGGGCAUUAACUGACGCUGUAGGAGCGAAAGCAUGGGGAGCGAACAGGAUUAGAUACCCUGGUAGUCCAUGCCGUAAACGUUGGGCACUAGGUGUGGGGGACAUUCCACGUUUUCCGCGCCGUAGCUAACGCAUUAAGUGCUCCCGCCUGGGGAGUACGGCCGCAAGGCUAAAACUCAAAGGAAUUGACGGGGGCCCGCACAAGCGGCGGAGCAUGCGGAUUAAUUCGAUGCAACGCGAAGAACCUUACCAAGGCUUGACAUGAACCGGAAACACCUGGAAACAGGUGCCCCGCUUGCGGUCGGUUUACAGGUGGUGCAUGGUUGUCGUCAGCUCGUGUCGUGAGAUGUUGGGUUAAGUCCCGCAACGAGCGCAACCCUCGUUCUAUGUUGCCAGCGCGUGAUGGCGGGGACUCAUAGGAGACUGCCGGGGUCAACUCGGAGGAAGGUGGGGACGACGUCAAAUCAUCAUGCCCCUGAUGUCUUGGGCUUCACGCAUGCUACAAUGGCCGGUACAAAGGGUUGCGAUACUGUGAGGUGGAGCUAAUCCCAAAAAGCCGGUCUCAGUUCGGAUUGGGGUCUGCAACUCGACCCCA
rnacentral:rRNA from 1 species